CUCUCCUCUCUCUUCCUCUCUGCUCUCACUCCUCUCUCUCUGUCUCUCCUUUUGCCAUCUACAUGAUCCUUGAUUAAACAUGGAACAGAGUUAAUAAAAAAAAGGGGGGGGGGGAGGACUCAAGGAGAGGAAAUGCAACUGUCAGAAAACGGGACGGCCAGAUUUCCUGGUGAACCUGCCUCUGUCUGAGUCAGUGUCAAUCCACCAUCUUCCGCCAGUGAACUUGUCUUUGGGUUUUUGUUUGUUUGCUGUUUUUUUUUUUGGGGGGGGGGGUGUUGUUGUUGUUGUGUGUGCUGUUUUGGGGAGGGGGAGGGGAAAUGUCAAGGUAGGGCCGGAGGUGUGAGGGGAUAGGGAGAAAGUGUGAGUGUGUGUAGGGUGUAAGUGUGUAUGUAUGUGUGUAGAGGUCGGGGAGGGGGGGAGUCCGUGUUUGUGAUCUGAACCUCUGGUACCUAAAGGAGGGAGUCUCAUCUCACCGAACGGUAGCUAAAACCUCACCAGAACCGAGAGCAAGUGAGGAGUCGCCGCCAAAGGCGCCCGCCGGAGCCUCCUCCCUCGGCCGGACCCCAGCCCCAGCAGCUGAAAGGAGCCCCCGCCCGGAUCACAGCAGACCCAGCUGCGAACGCGCCCCGAGCGAACUGACGCCGCCUCCCGGGUCCCCGUCCCCGCGGCCCGGCGAUCCCGCCUCCUAACGGACCUGCCGUGCGGGCGCCGCCGCCGGCACCAGCGCCC
rnacentral:lncRNA from 1 species